AGAGACUUGAGACUUGUGAGACUUGUGAGCAUCUCUGCGAUCUACCCUGGCCUCUGGACAGGUCGCCAAUCAAUCACAGAGAUGAGUCAUUGACAGCAACCUUCCAAGCGUCAUCUGCCAGAAUCUGGUUUGCACUCUAUCUUGUGUUCUGUCAGUCAGUAAGCAGCACUGUGGAAACAGGGACACUUGCUUGGUGGAGAACAAACCACUCCAUCCCUGACUUUGUUGAAAUGGAGGAUCAACCAAGCUGAACGGGAGCCCACAUAAAUAUUCUAUUAGUAUUCUCAUGUAUUAUCCACACACCCUUACAUCUGGCCCAUGAUAUUGUGUAAACAUCACUUUGAAGGUAUGUUCCAGACCAGCAGAGCAGUGUUUGGAUUCAGUGUUACCUCUGCUACAACAUUAAUAUCACACAGUCUGUCUGCCUGGCUGCGAGCCCGUAACAUGUCUUUGGGGAUUAACAAAGUUACUGGAAUAAUACUGUGUUCAUGCUGAUGCUGCGAGCGAGGUAUCAAGGGAGCUAUGAAAGACCAGAUAAUUAACUCAAGGCCCAACCAAAUAAGUCAUAUUCUGAUAAAUUAUUCAGUAUUUUCAUGCAUCCCCUCCUCAUAUUGCAGGCAAUACUAUGGCGACUUCCUGAAACAUUAGCAAUUAUUGUUGUCCAUUUUAUUACCAUGCUCGGUCAUUUCCAUCUGGAUAUGCAGUAUGGAUAAAGAGCUUGUACAGUGUGGUCUAGCAUAGUUGAUGGAUUAGUGCACAGUGGACAGAGAAAACUACCACAACUGAAACGGAAAACUGAAAAAGUUUCAACAAAACUACAAAAUGUAAUGAGAGAGACUCAUCUUCUAUGUGAUAGGAAAGAAAUGCAUUUAUAUUUAAUAAGACUCAUGGAAUAUGUAAAUUUCUGACAACUGAUUUGUACUUAAAAGCUCAACAAGUAAUCUUUUCACCAGAUCAAAUUGAUGCACAUUUGUAUACAUAUUACAAUGGUAUAGGUAGAUGUUGUUGAGAAUUCAAAAUAUGGGUCUGUUCUACUGCAAAUGGUGCUGUGUAUUCAAUUUUAUCUACAUAGCCCAAAAUAAUAGCUUUAUGAGGAAAAACUCCCCCAAAAAGAUGCUUAAAGAGGUGGUAUUAUGCUCAUUUUCAGGUUCAAAAUCUUAUUUAGGGGUUGUACCAGAACAAGUUUACAGGGUUUAAUUUUCU